rnacentral:misc_RNA from 1 species
GCAAACUUGGUCAUUUAGAGGAAGUAAAAGUCGUAACAAGGUUUCCGUAGGUGAACCUGCGGAAGGAUCAUUAUGGGAUACACAAGCGCUCUGCGCAUCAACAACCUGUGCACCUAGAGACGCUUCUCUCCGAAGCGUACGAUUCUCAUGUAACCCUAUGUACACUUGGAACAACAGAACGGUUCGCGUCCUCGCGACCGAACCUUUGUCAAUUGAAAACAACUUUCAACAACGGAUCUCUUGGCUCUCGCAUCGAUGAAGAACGCAGC